UUUUGUGCUGAUACACAAUGGCUGAGUUUGAGACUCUGCAUGUGUUUCUCUUUGUCCUUGGUUUGCUCUCAGAGACUCUGUGCUCUUUAAUUUUAGAAGCAGAACCCGGAGAUAAAGUCACUAUUUGGUGUGAACAUCACCUGACUGAUACAGGCUACAUUUCAUGGUUUAAACACUCAACUGAUUCAGUUCCACUUCUUCUUGAGUGCAAAAAGUUUAGAGCAUCUGCUCCAGCGGAAACGUGUUACUUCUUUACUGAAAGUGAGAGAAUAGUGAUGUCUGUUUAUGGUAAAAACACGUCUUUGACCAUCACUGCAGUAAAUGUCUCUGAUACAGGACUCUAUUACUGCGGCACCAUGAAACUGGUUAAAAUGACCUUUAGCACCUCGACCUCUUUACAAGUAAAAGAUACAUUUAAUAGAGGUGUAAAUACAUCAGGUGUGAAUACGCGAACAUUUUUGAAGGACAAAGCAACAGGUUCAGACUCUUCUGCUGUGUUCUUCUGGCUGAAUGUGAUAACUGUUUUGAUGAUUGUGACUCUUCUUGGUGUCCUGACCUUGGGCAUACUAAAAUACAAAAGACUUCACAGAGGUUCAUGACUCAGACUGGAUUACGCUGAACUACUGUCACUUAACAAGAAAACGAGAUAUGAUGAAAAUGUGUAUACACUCAUUUAUUCUUCAACUGGAGUAAUGUAAUAUGUGUAUGCAUUAUAUAUUAUAAACUGUUUAUUUCAUAUUAUAUAUAUA